UCGGUGUUCGACGACGACGGCCGCCUACUCCAAUCUUGCUGCGCGGUGCUCUUCACCGAGUGCCGUCGGCGGGCCGGACACGUUUACUUUGAACAAAUUAGAGUGCUCAAAGCAGGCUCGAAUCUGGCGGGGCGGCUUCACGGCCGUCUCGUCAAAAGGCCCUGAAUACUGGUCGCAUGGAAUAAUGGAACAAGACCUCGGUCCCGCGCAUCUCCGCCCUUCGCGGGCGCGCGAAAUCGCCCUCCGGGGCGUUUCCGUGCGCGGGCCGCCGGGCCGCGGGCGCCAGUCGCCCGCGCGUCCCGCCGGGCCGGUUUUCGGGACCGGAGGUAAUGAUCAACAGAGACGGGCGGGGGCAUUCGUACCGAGACGUUAGAGGUGAAAUUCUUGGAUCGUCUCGAGACGAACUGACGCGAAAGCAUUUGCCAAGUACGUUCUCGUAUGAUCAAGAACGAAAGUUAGAGGUUCGAAGGCGAUCAGAUACCGCCCUAGUUCUAACUGUAAACGAUGCCAGCUAGCGAUCCGCCGGCGUUUCAUUAACGACCCGGCGGGCAGCUUCCGGGAAACCGAAGCUUUUCGGUUCCGGGGGAAGUAUGAUUGCAAAGUUGAAACUUAAAGGAAUUGACGGAAGGGCACCACCAGGAGUGGAGCCUGCGGCUUAAUUUGACUCAACACGGGAAACCUCACCAGGCCCGGACACCGGAAAGAUUGACAGAUUGAGAGCUCUUUCUUGAUUCGGUGGGUGGUGGUGCAUGGCCGUUCUUAGUUGGUGGAGCGAUCUGUCUGGUUAAUUCCGAUAACGAACGAGACUCUGUCCUGCUAACUAGGCGGGUAAACCCGGGUCGGCGUGUGCGCGGCGCUGGCGGUUUCGGCCGUCAGUGUUCGCGUACCCGUCGGCUCGGCCCGGUAUCCCCGAACGCGUUCGCCCGUCGUCCACGGCGGUCGUCGGGCGCGGCCGCGCCAUCCGCGUCCCGGCGUUCGGCGGGCGUAUGUCGGCCGGGGGGCAA
rnacentral:ncRNA from 1 species